AGUGAACGCUGGCGGUAGGCCUAACACAUGCAAGUCGAACGGCAGCACAGUAAGAGCUUGCUCUUACGGGUGGCGAGUGGCGGACGGUUGAGGAAUACAUCGGAAUCUACUUUUUCGUGGGGGAUAACGUAGGGACACUUACGCUAAUACCGCAUACGACCUACGGGUGAAAGCAGGGGAUCUUCGGACCUUGCGCGAUUGAAUGAGCCGAUGUCGGAUUAGCUAGUUGGCGGGGUAAAGGCCCACCAAGGCGACGAUCCGUAGCUGGUCUGAGAGGAUGAUCAGCCACACUGGGACUGAGACACGGCCCAGACUCCUACGGGAGGCAGCAGUGGGGAAUAUUGGACAAUGGGCGAAAGCCUGAUCCAGCCAUGCCGCGUGGGUGAAGAAGGCCUUCGGGUUGUAAAGCCCUUUUGUUGGGAAAGAAAAGCAGCAGGUUAAUACCCCGCUGUUCUGACGGUACCGAAAGAAUAAGCACCGGCUAACUUCGUG
rnacentral:rRNA from 1 species